AUGGAGAUGGACCAAUGGGUCACUGCCUGUGAGGAUGAGCUGGAACUGUCAAUGUACAGUGAAGAUGUGGUGACUGGUGAAGAGGCAGAGUUUGAUCAUGCGUCAGAAGCUUCUGUGGAUGAUUGGACUCAGUAUAAGGAGAAGAUGCUUGAGGAGCUUAAAAGGACCAUUUCUGCUCAUCUGUCCGCGAUAGAACAUACAUUGAUGAUGAUCAAUUUUUUCUUGACUUUUUGCCAUAAAUAUCCUUUUAAUAUAUUUGUACAUUAAUGCUGUAUCGCAGUGUACAAAAAUGCUGUGAGAAGCAUUCUCCCCUGUGAGUCUGUAAAACUGACUUUAGUCACCUGUUAAAUCCAGACUAAAGUGUAAUAAAAGAAAAAGCUAAGGCAAAGCUUCCUAAAUUUAUGUCUGCACAUUAUUGUGACGCAUUUGUUUUAUAAAUAAUACUUUGUAUUUUUUACACACUGAAAUACCUGAACAGUGAAACUUUUGUGAUUAAUUUAUUAUAUAUUUGCUGGUGUUGUAAUGAGUAACAGACAGCAAGAGCAAACAAAACCAUAAAGCCCCAACCUGUAAUGGACCGGAAAACUAUUUUAUUAAACCUCAAUUUCUGGAAUCACAUAAAGACACUUUCUUUUUGUUCUUCUCACAAUAUCUUUGAUACAUAAAAGCUCUUUAAAGAGCCACUUCAAUUAAAAAAAAGGGUUUCUGGUGUUUUUAAAAUGUUCUUGCAGCUUUUUCUUUUAUGACAGAGGGAAAAAAAGAUUAGUUUCUUAUUAUUUCUUUAUUCGAAUUGGUGUAAAUCAGGAGCAGACAAAAGAAUGCCAUUGGAAAAAGCUUUUAGCAGUGACGUACUGGUAGGUUCUACAAAUGGGCAGGCCACAUGCUACCUGCUCCACUUCUUCAGGUGCAUCUACUUGUAGAUGACAGGAUCCAUUGGGUCUUCACUUUCCUCAUCUGAGCUGGCAUCUGACUUAAAACUGUAUGAUUGGAUAGUUCCAAUUGCUCGCCUUUUUUGCUGGUUGGAGUUGUGAGGGGCUGUAAACUAGUGAGGGAUUAUGGGGAAAUGAGGAAAAGCUUACUCUGCGCCAACGGUCUCGCCCACAAUCCAGAGACAAAUUUCUAUUUAAUUACUACCGCUCAGCAGAAACUAUAUCCUAGAAAAUGUUCCCGGCCCUUAUUCUAUUAAGUCUGAGUUCAAAGACCAAAGAGAAAAUAUCUACUUAGCGACGGAUCAAAAUUUGCAUCAAAUUUUGAGUGUAAAGGGAUCUAUCAAGGGAC
rnacentral:lncRNA from 1 species